CCGAGAAGCAACGAGGUUCUGACCGCGAUCAGCAGAGUGGACAGCAAGGAGAGGACGAAGCGGAGGUGUCACGGCACAAAGGAAACGUCAGACUCGGAAGUCGUAGAGGUAAACACGUCGGCACCCGGAUCCGGCUAAGCCUACACGGGUUAGGCGCAGCACUCAGCUCUGGCCCACACGCCGCCGUGGGCCUCCCGCCCGGAGCCACAGUUCUCCAGGCUCCGCGGUCCACGGCGCAGCCCGAUGCCUCGGGACACUGAAGGAACUGCCCCCACCCCACCCGGUGGCACCGGCCCCCGCGCGGACCCCCACGUCAGGGGGUGGGAUGCACGCUAGCAUCUUUCAGCGAACCUGAAGUUUGCCAGUUUGGCUAGACUCACUGCCCAGCAAGUUGCAGAGAUCCUCCUGUCUCCACUGCUCUGGCAUCGGGGUUGCAGUUGUGUGACGCCAUGAUUCACUUUUUCACUAGGAUACGGGGGAUCUGAACUCCUGUUUGCAUGCUCUCAUGGCAAGUAGUUUGCUACCGAGUCAUCUCCCCGGCCCCUCAGUUACGUCUGAUGCUUUUUAUAUUGUUUGCUAUAAUGCAAUUAUGUGAUGAAAUAUUUUUUUAUUUUUAAUGCAUGUGUGUAUAUGCACAUGUGUGGGCAUAUGUAUGUGUGCCAUGUGUAAAGCCCUAGAGAUAGCCUUGAAUGUCACCCUCAGAGACUCCAUCCAUCUUUUUUGAGAAAAUGUCUCUCAUUGGCCUGGAGCUUACCAACCAGGCUAGACUGGCAAGCAAGCAAGCCCAGGAGAUGCUCCUGUCUCCUCCUCCCCAGCACUGGGAUUAUAGGUGUGUCUCAGCAAGGCAAGCGCUUUACUGGCUGAGCCUCCUGUCCAGCCUCUUCUGCAUGGCAAAGACUAUGAACCACAAGUAAUAUUUAUCUAAACUUUCAACUUUCUCUAGGCAAGGGACUUUCACUGUAUGUGGCCCAAACUCCCGGGACACACCCUGAGCUCCUUUAGCUAGCUCCUGCGGCAUCUGGAGUCGAGGCUGUGAACUUCUACAGCAGAGUAGUGGGUGCUGAUGAGCUGUGGGUGAGAAGCCUGCCACCCAGCCUAGCAAUUGCUUCUGUAGUUUUGUCUUCUACCAAUUGCCUAAGACCAGGGGGCGGGAUCAAGUCUCUCAGAGCCACUGCAUCUCUGUUCAUACUUCUGAUGACUUCCUAAUUUGAUGCCCGAGUUUUUUCCAGCAUAAAUGAUCCAUACUAUGUCUUUGUGGCUAUUAUAUUUUCCAUCAAUGAGAAUUAACAUUUGUUUUUGUUUUGAUGGUUAAGGUCUCUUUACUUUGUGACUUUUGUUUAUUUUUUGUGCAGACUCUGUGUGUCUUGAUUUUUUUUUAACUUCUAGAAGUUUAGAAGGCAGAGAUUGCUUUAGUGUAAGAGGUGGAACCCUGUGUUUUCCAUACACUCACAGAAUCAAGCAAUCAGGCACUUCUGCCUUCUCAUGUUUGUCCUUCUCCCUCCCACCCUCCAUUCACAGCCCUUCAGUUUAUGUUCAUGUGAUCUAGGACUCCAAACCUUAAAGAAGUAUAUUAAGAAUUAUUGAUAUAUAAGUUGUAGCUUGUAGCUAUACUCACAAUUACAUUUAAUUCACCAUAU